rnacentral:rRNA from 1 species
UACGGAAGGGGCAAGCGUUGUUCGGAAUUAUUGGGCGUAAAGAGCUCGUAGGCGGUUUGUCGCGUCUGCCGUGAAAGUCCGGGGCUCAACUCCGGAUCUGCGGUGGGUACGGGCAGACUAGAGUGAUGUAGGGGAGACUGGAAUUCCUGGUGUAGCGGUGAAAUGCGCAGAUAUCAGGAGGAACACCGAUGGCGAAGGCAGGUCUCUGGGCAUUAACUGACGCUGAGGAGCGAAAGCAUGGGGAGCGAACAGG